rnacentral:rRNA from 1 species
UUAGAGUUUGAUCCUGGCUCAGGAUGAACGCUAGCGGCAGGCCUAAUACAUGCAAGUCGCGGGGUAAGGCUCUUUCGGGAGCACACGACCGGCGCACGGGUGCGUAACGCGUAUGCAACCUACCUAUAACAAGGGGAUAGCCCGGGGAAACCCGGAUUAAUACCCUAUAAAGCAGGGGUACUGCAUGGUACUAUUUGCUAAAGUUGAGGCGGUUAUAGAUGGGCAUGCGUUAGAUUAGCUAGUUGGUAAGGUAACGGCUUACCAAGGCGACGAUCUAUAGGGGUUCUGAGAGGAAGGUCCCCCACACUGGCACUGAGAUACGGGCCAGACUCCUACGGGAGGCAGCAGUAAGGAAUAUUGGUCAAUGGGCGAGAGCCUGAACCAGCCAUGCCGCGUGCAGGAAGACGGCCUUCUGGGUUGUAAACUGCUUUUAUACGGGAAGAAAAAGGUCUUGCGAGGCUACUUGCCGGUACCGUAUGAAUAAGCACCGGCUAACUCCGUGCCAGCAGCCGCGGUAAUACGGAGGGUGCAAGCGUUGUCCGGAUUUAUUGGGUUUAAAGGGUGCGUAGGCGGUAGUUUAAGUCAGUGGUGAAAGUCUUGAGCUUAACUGAAGAAGUGCCAUUGAAACUGGAUUACUAGAGUAUAGUCGAGGUAGGCGGAAUUUAUGGUGUAGCGGUGAAAUGCAUAGAUACCAUAAAGAACACCGAUAGCGAAGGCAGCUUACUAGGCUAUAACUGACGCUGAGGCACGAAAGCAUGGGUAUCGAACAGGAUUAGAUACCCUGGUAGUCCAUGCUGUAAACGAUGCUCACUAGCUGUUGGCGAUAUAAGUUCAGCGGCUUAGCGAAAGCGAUAAGUGAGCCACCUGGGGA